AACGAACGCUGGCGGCGCGCCUAAUACAUGCAAGUCGAACGAGAAGGUGUAGCAAUACACUUGUAAAGUGGCGAACGGGUGAGGAAUACAUGGGUAACCUACCCUCGAGUGGGGAAUAACCAGCCGAAAGGUUGGCUAAUACCGCAUACGAUUCCCGGUUUGCGGAUCGGGAAGGAAAGCGAUGCUGUGAGUAUCGCGCUCAAGGAUGGGCUCAUGUCCUAUCAGCUUGUUGGUGAGGUAACGGCUCACCAAGGCUUCGACGGGUAGCUGGUCUGGGAGGACGAUCAGCCACACUGGCACGGCGACACGGGCCAGACUCCUACGGGAGGGAGCAGUAAGGAAUAUUGCGCAAUGGGCGAAAGCCUGACGCAGCGACGCCGCGUGGGGGAUGAAGGUCUUCGGAUUGUAAACCCCUUUCGGGAGGGAAGAUGGGAUGGGUAACCAUUCGGACGGUACCUCCAGAAGCAGCCACGGCUAACUUCGUGCCAGCAGCCGCCGUAAUAC
rnacentral:rRNA from 1 species